GACGAACGCUGGCGGCGUGCUUAACACAUGCAAGUCGAACGGAAAGGCCCUGCUUUUGUGGGGUGCUCGAGUGGCGAACGGGUGAGUAACACGUGAGUAACCUGCCCUUGACUUUGGGAUAACUUCAGGAAACUGGGGCUAAUACCGGAUAGGAGCUCCUGCUGCAUGGUGGGGGUUGGAAAGUUUCGGCGGUUGGGGAUGGACCCGCGGCUUAUCAGCUUGUUGGAGGGGUAGUGGCUUACCAAGGCUUUGACGGGUAGCCGGCCUGAGAGGGUGACCGGCCACAUUGGGACUGCGAUACGGCCCAGACUCCUACGGGAGGCAGCAGUGGGGAAUAUUGCACAAUGGGCGGAAGCCUGAUGCAGCAACGCCGCGUGCGGGAUGACGGCCUUCGGGUUGUAAACCGCUUUCGCCUGUGACGAAGCGUGAGUGACGGUAAUGGGUAAAGAAGCACCGGCUAACUACGUG
rnacentral:rRNA from 1 species